AUGCAUCUGCAGUUCAUCCUAGAUAGGAUACGCCCUCGCCUUGCAGGAUGGAAAGGCCGUUUGUUAUCCAUCGCCGGCCGGAGGGUUUUAGUCAGGAGCGUUCUGACGGCACUGCCAACUUACGCGUUGUCCGUUCUCAGGGCGCCUGUCAAGCUUCUCAAGGACAUCGACAAGGUGCGCGGCCGCUUUCUUUGGGCGGGAGAGGAGGAAUUGACUCUCGGAAAAUGCAAAGUUCGCUGGCAACAAGUGUGCUCGCCGGUGCAGCAUGGAGGCUUGGGCAUCCUGAGCAUGACCAAAUUCAGUCGCGCUCUCCGGCUCAGAUGGUUAUGGAUGUCCUGGUAG
rnacentral:rRNA from 1 species